rnacentral:rRNA from 1 species
CCUACGGGAGGCAGCAGUGGGGAAUAUUGGGCAAUGGGCGCAAGCCUGACCCAGCAACGCCGCGUGAAGGAAGAAGGCUUUCGGGUUGUAAACUUCUUUUGUCAGGGACGAAGCAAGUGACGGUACCGGACGAAUAAGCCACGGCUAACUACGGGCCAGCAGCCGCGGUAAGACGUAGGUGGCAAGCGUUAUCCGGAUUGACUGGGUGUAAAGGGCGUGUAGGCGGGGAAGACAGCCAGAGGGCCAAACCACGGGCUCAACCUGUGGCCUGCAUUUGAAACUGUUUUUCUUGAGUGCUGGAGGGGCAAUCGGAAUUCCGUGUGUAGCGGUGAAAUGCGUAGAUAUACGGAGGAACACCAGUGGCGCCGGCGGAUUGCUGGACAGUAACUGACGCUGCGGCGCGAACGCGUGGGGAGCAAACAGGAUUAGAUACCCUAGUAGUC